rnacentral:rRNA from 1 species
CACCAGCGCCACGAGUGGCAAUCGCGAUUAUUGGGCCUAAAGCGUCCGUAGUCUGGCUUGUACAUCUUCUGUGAAAUCGUUGCGCUUAACGUAACGGCAUGCGGGAGACACGGCAAGCCUUGAGACCGGGAGGCGUCGAGGGUACUCUUAGGGGACCGGUAAAAUGGUAUAAUCCUAAGAAGACCACCUGUGGCGAAGGCGACUCGACGAGAACGGGAUCUGACGAUGAGGGACGAAAGCCAGGGGAGCAAACCGG